rnacentral:rRNA from 1 species
GAUGAACGCUGGCGGCGUGCCUAAUACAUGCAAGUCGAGCGGUAAGGCCCUUCGGGGUACACGAGCGGCGGACGGCUGAGUAACACGUAGGAACGUACCCCAAACUGAGGGAUAAGCACCGGAAACGGUGUCUAAUACCGCAUGUGCUCUUCGGAGUAAAGCUACGGCGGUUUGGGAACGGCCUGCGCAUGAUUAGCUUGUUGGUGAGGUAAUGGCUCACCAAGGCGACGAUCAUUAGCUGGUCUGAGAGGAUGAUCAGCCAGACUGGGACUGAGCCACGGCCCAGACUCCUACGGGAGGCAGCAGUAGGGAAUUUUCCACAAUGGGGGCAACCCUGAUGGAGCAACGCCGCGUGCAGGAUGAAUGCCUUCGGGUUGUAAACUGCUUUUAUCUGUGACGAUUAUGACGGUAGCAGAUGAAUAAGGAUCGGCUAACUCCGUGCCAGCCGCCGCGGUAA